rnacentral:rRNA from 1 species
UACGAAGGGGGCUAGCGUUGCUCGGAAUCACUGGGCGUAAAGGGUGCGUAGGCGGAUUGUUAAGUCGGGGGUGAAAUCCUGGAGCUCAACUCCAGAACUGCCUUCGAUACUGGCGAUCUCGAGUUCGGGAGAGGUGAGUGGAACUGCGAGUGUAGAGGUGAAAUUCGUAGAUAUUCGCAAGAACACCAGUGGCGAAGGCGGCUCACUGGCCCGAUACUGACGCUGAGGUGCGAAAGCGUGGGGAGCAAACAGG